GAUGAACGCUAGCGACAGGCCUAACACAUGCAAGUCGAGGGGCAGCACAUGAGUAGCAAUACGAUGGUGGCGACCGGCGCACGGGUGAGUAACACGUAUGCAACCUGCCUUCUACUAUGGGAUAACCCGUUGAAAGACGGACUAAUACCGUAUAAUACAGGGGCUCCGCAUGGAGAUAUUUGUUAAAGAUUUAUUGGUAGAAGAUGGGCAUGCGUAUGAUUAGGUAGUUGGUGAGGUAACGGCUCACCAAGUCAACGAUCAUUAGGGGUUCUGAGAGGAAGGUCCCCCACACCGGUACUGAGACACGGACCAGACUCCUACGGGAGGCAGCAGUGAGGAAUAUUGGUCAAUGGACGAGAGUCUGAACCAGCCAAGUCGCGUGAAGGAAGACGGUUCUAUGAAUUGUAAACUUCUUUUGUGCAGGAAUAAAGUGGGUUACGUGUAACCUUUUGUAUGUACUGUACGAACAAGGAUCGGCUAACUCCGUGCCAGCCGCCGCCGUAAAAC
rnacentral:rRNA from 1 species